AUCGCUUCUCGGCCUUUUGGCUCAGAUCAAGUGUAGUUUCUGUUCUUGUCAGUUUAAUAUCUGAUAGGUCUCCCACGGGGGCGACCAGUUCUUAUUAAGCAGAUUUUUGCAAACAGGGAGUCGGAACGAGGGCUCGCUCCGUCCGCUCCGCGCAUCGCCCCGGUAUCGCAGCUCCUCCGGGGAACGGUGCACUCUUU